GGGCGCUGGCAGGUGUGCCCGGAGCCCCCAUCUCGGACUGAACAGAAUUUUAAUACAAUUUCUGCAUCUCUCCAAGCACGAAAGGAGUGAGGCGGGGUCCUGGAGAAAUCGAGGCACGGUGAGGGGUGAGGACAGUGGGAGACGGCGGGGGAGGAGGACGGAGAGGGGUCAUGUCCCACCCAUUACCGGUGGCUCGCCAUCAGGUAUCCGUGGGGGCUGCCAUGGGUGUGAAGCCCUGUGGAGGGAGGUGGGCUGUGCUGUGAACCCCACCUUGGGGCACAGAGCCCUGGGGACUUGUCUGGAGGGUGCUAGCAAGGCUGGGAGUUGCUUUGUGUUCACGGCAGCUGGCAAAAAUCAUUGACAGCAGUUUUUGCUGGCAACGGGACUGACCUCACCCUCCCAAGGGACUGCUGGGCUCCAAGGGGUCUGGCCCAGCCCAACAAAGAUUUUUUUUUUUUUUUUGCCAACCAAUUCCCCAUGGAUGUAACUCUGUCCUAACCUUGAGCUUGCACCUCAGGGAGGCAUCACUUCUCACACUUAGGGCAGUUUAAUUAGCAGCGAGCCCUUUGUCUCUACUGAAACCUUCUGGAACUGGCCAAGAAAUUGCAGGGAGGGCACGGGAUGACCAGGUGGGCAGAAAACAAGGUCGAGUCUUGUUUUCCCAGAGCAGACCUAUGAGGAGAGCCGAGAUGCUGUGAUUUGAAGCAUUGUGCUUUCCAGAAAGACUUCCCUGGGCGCUGUGGGCACAAAGGGAUGCUCAGAAGGGCAAAACCUGCUCCCAACCCUGAUGCUUUUGGCUUGGGAACUGCAGCACUCCCAGCUGAUUGUGGGCGAGAUUCGGGCUCAGCCGCUUCCCCGCCGCUGCCAUGACACAGUCCAGCGUUUGUAAACAGCUCCGAGGUUCCUCAGCAAGGUGUCAUGGGAGGAAAUGGCUGCAUGCCGGGGAGUGCAGCGUCCUGACCUGCCCCUCACCCUUCUCGGUGACUAACCCGCUCCCAAUUUCCGUUCAGGAAGGCGUGAGUCGUGUUGGGAGGAUGUGAGAGCAGCUGUCCCACUGCUCCUGGCAGGUGCCAUGGGACGAUGAGGCUGCUUUGGGCUCUGUCCUCACCGUGCUACAUCCGUCCAGGGCCGUGUGCCCUGGGGCUGCAGGGAUCCCCCUCGUCCUGCCAGCCUGCGCUUUAAAUAGGACUGGAAUGCCCGUGCAGGCUCUGCUGGCCAUCCUCCAUGCUUGUGGAGAAAGGUGCUGAGAGUGGCUUCAUGGCGAGGUGCCAGGGCUGGAGGGAACUCGCCCAUGGAGCAGAGCCCAGUCCAGCCAUGAGCACCAGUCUCCCUCCAGGAGCAAACAUCCCUGCAGCUCCUGCACCGGGAGGAGCCCCGGGGUAUCCCAGACUCUGCAGACAUCAUUUGGUGGAGAAGGUUUGAACAUUUGAAGCCUGGGUUCGCUGGGCAAGACGAUGUGUGCCCUGAGUUUGGGGAAACUGGGGCAGACAAGGUUUCUCUUGAGCUGUGCAAGAAGCCAAGGGUUAAAUACAUCAGCAACCUCCCUCAGCUCCCUCCGGCCCGGGCUUCUCCUGCUCCUGCCCCCAGCUGCUGGAGGAGUUGAUCUGCACUGGGAGUUACCCUGGGGGAAGAGAAGCACAGAGCCUGGGGGCUUCCCACGCCGGCCCCACUGCCACAUCACAGCCCCGGAGGAGGCGUGCAGAGGCCGUGCCUGUGCUGGGAGAUGAACUGCAGCGUUUCCCUCGGAGGCACAGAGCUCCUCCACAUCCCUGCCCGCUCUGCCGCGGCCGCCGGCAGCCACCCGGGGACGGGAACGGGAGGGGGAUGCACUCCUCCCGAAUCCAUCUCUUUCAGCAUCGCUCCCACUGCUGAAGGUACACGUCUCAAGGUGGAGCCAGAAAUAGCGCGGCUGGCGCUGCAUCGGGGCUGGCAGGGCUGCAGGCUUGGCAGGGGGACAGGCAGCGACUGCAGCAGUGGGAACUUUCCAGGCAGCUCCUGCGGGAGCGGCCGGGGCGGAGAUGGAGCCAUUUCCAUGCAGAGCCAGCCCCGGGACUGCGGAUCUGCCCCGUUCAGCCGUGGGGCUGGGGCUGACGUGGGGUCCAGCACAGUGCAGAGGGGACAGAGCUAACAGAGAUACCUCCUGGAGGAGAGCGACUGGGAUCACAUCCCACCCGAGCUAGGACACAGGGCUGGGCUCUGCUGCAGAACUCGGGGAAGUGGCUGCACCUUCUAUCUGCCCCCAUGACCCCAAAAUCCAUCUUCUCUCAGCCUUUAAAGAGCUCAGUUUUUCUGUGGCAGCUCCUAAAUCAUAGCCAGGCUCUGCAACUUGUUGGGGGCUGCUCCCCUCCACUGACCCUCAGCUGAGCUGCCUGCAGCAGCCGGCACAGCCCGGGACUGCAGAGCUCACCAGGAGGCCCUGAACAAUGCCGACGAGCUGAGCUCAUUCCUCCCAGCUGAUAAUUUGCUUAAAAAUAUUUCUGAGCUCAGGCCUCCUCAGGGAAAACACUCCCAAACGCCAGGCAAAAAGCUGCUGAGUCUGGAGGAACCACACACCCACCACUCGCUGGCCGAGACGUCCCCCCGAUGACAAGCCCCGGCGUCAGAGGGACUGAGGCCAAAGGCUGCCGUUUGAUCUCCCCCUUCGCUGGGGAAGCCGAAUUUCAGGCAGUCCAGGGGUUUUACCACUUCCCGGUAGCGGUUUCCUGCGAUGAUGUGAGCGCAGGAAUUUUUGGGAGGUGAGUCAGAGGCUGCAAUGAGAACCACCUGGCUGGGGCUAGGCUGGGAGGCUCCAUCCCGAUCCAGGGGUGAUCCCUGCUGCGAUGCUCGAUGCCGGCAGGCAGCACUCCCAGAGUGGAAUUACUUAUGGGGGACAAAACAUCCCAUCACAGACCCCAUUUCUGGCCUGGAAGAAGAAAGGGAUUUGCUGCCUCGGUUCCCACGGCUCCUCCUCCCUUGCCGGGCUGGGAUCCGUACGCUCCGGCCACCCCACCCGGGCUCCAGGGAGAAACUUGGGGAAGAAUAAAGAGCAAAACCUCGUCCAGCUCUGCAGGAAGCUGCCUGGAAUGGCCGUCCCGCCCCAGCACCGGCUUGUUCUGAGAACAGAAGUGCCCCAAAGCAGCACCAAGGCUUGGAUUUCCCUGGGGAGCAACGCAGGAGUUGGCAGAGCUGAGAAACUGCCCUCCCUGGUCUCUGAAAUUCCACAUAUAAAAUGAGUUCCUGCUAAAGGAACCUCCCAGGUUUUGCCUGCUGAGCCCUUAAAGCUCCAUGACCCCGUGCCCACUCUCUCCCCAGCAUUACUCAAACCCCUCCACGUAGAGAAUAAGUGAGUGGAGUCCAGAGAGUGAGACUGAGCCGGGAUAAGCCUUUGGAAAGGAGCUAAACCUGCUCAAAGCCGGCACUGUUCCCUGACCCGCCCUCCUAAUCCUGCCUGCCUGAUAAUGGAAUAAUAAAAGGCUGCACAGCCUC